rnacentral:rRNA from 1 species
UGCAGUCGAGCGGAUGAGUGGAGCUUGCUCCAUGAUUCAGCGGCGGACGGGUGAGUAAUGCCUAGGAAUCUGCCUGGUAGUGGGGGAUAACGUUUCGAAAGGAACGCUAAUACCGCAUACGUCCUACGGGAGAAAGUGGGGGAUCUUCGGACCUCACGCUAUCAGAUGAGCCUAGGUCGGAUUAGCUAGUUGGUGGGGUAAUGGCCCACCAAGGCGACGAUCCGUAACUGGUCUGAGAGGAUGAUCAGUCACACUGGAACUGAGACACGGUCCAGACUCCUACGGGAGGCAGCAGUGGGGAAUAUUGGACAAUGGGCGAAAGCCUGAUCCAGCCAUGCCGCGUGUGUGAAGAAGGUCUUCGGAUUGUAAAGCACUUUAAGUUGGGAGGAAGGGCAGUAAGUUAAUACCUUGCUGCUUUGACGUUACCAACAGAAUAAGCACCGGCUAACUUCGUGCCAGC